AUUAAGAAUUGGUACUUGACACCUUAGUUCAGAAAAUUGGCGGUUGUUGCGAGCCAUCUAAGCCAAGUAUUUUGCUACUUAAUAUUACAAUUGAAUAGUAGAGCCUGUAUUCACAGUUUGUGGCUUAUAUAUAAAAGUUUUUUGCUUGUGGAUACAGUUUCUUAAAUGAGAAUGACAAGUCAUUGAAUGAAGGUGGUACCGCGGUUUUUCGCCCUUCGUUUGAUUUCUUGUUAUUUUUUUGGGGGA
rnacentral:misc_RNA from 3 species